rnacentral:rRNA from 1 species
UUAUUGGAGAGUUUGAUCCUGGCUCAGGACGAACGCUGGCGGCGUGCCUAAUACAUGCAAGUCGAGCGAGGGUCUUCGGACCCUAGCGGCGGACGGGUGAGUAACACGUAGGCAACCUGCCUCUCAGACUGGGAUAACAUAGGGAAACUUAUGCUAAUA